UGCAGUUUGUAAGCAAUAAACGGGUUUUAAACUUUUAUUUCUCCCUUUGACUGAUUUUGGUUUUUAGAGGUAUUUUGUCCUGGGAUUUCCUUUCCCCGGACUUACACUAGAAUAAUCCACAUGCUGAUGAGACACAUUUUGGGGUGGCAGAUUUUGCAGCUCCCCUACAGAGGUAAAGAGAGUAUGCAAGGCAAUUAGGGACCACAGGAAACAGGCAUCCAUCCGACUCAAGGAGAAGCCCAGGAGGGCUUCCUGGAAGAGCCAACACCUACUUUGUAGUGUAAAUUGAGUAGGCUAGUAACACGCAGGAGGAGGAGCUGGGAGAAGGCCACUGGAGACAGAGGAGCCUUGCAAACAAAGCAACAGAGCAAGCAGCAUUCUCUCAAGUGCAUGCAAGACCCUGAGGGCUUCCUUUCUGAUCUGGAUUCAGGGGAGCCCAAAGAAUAUGCUCAAAGAAUCCAAGAUUAAUGGCCGACCAGAGAAAGGGGGACGGCCAGGAGGUGUUUGCAAAGAGCCUGCUUCAGCAACUUGGACAUCCCAUCGACAGCACAUCCAGGUCCCCUUCUGACCAACAGAGAGAUCUCUGGCCACAGAUGGGUAGUGUGUAUCAUCAGCUACACAGCAAGGACAAUUCGAUUCUAGUUUUUGAAAUUCUCCAGUGUCAUAUAGCAAUCUGUGCAUGUCUCUGUGGGGAAGCUUGGGAGCAAUAUUCUGAACAGAAACGUGGACAGGCCAGGAUCUUACAGCGAGUACCUCUCUACCCAUGCUCCCUUGGGGAGCUUCCGUGGGCAGUACUGUAAGCUUCACAUCCUACAGCUGCCUGGUUAGGCCUGAAGAAAGAAGGUUGUGGUAUCCGGUUCCCAUAGUGUGAGUGUUCUCUGCUGCACCCAGGAGUGGAAAUCUGUCAGCUGCCAAAUCCAGAAGGCCAUUCUGAACGAGGAUUGUGUGAAGCCAGGACUGGGUAUUGUUGUGGAUUAACGUUAAGAGCCCAGCCCUCGGUCCCGGUUGUCACCUCCCAGAUGUGCCAUCUGGGCAAGUCACUUAAUCUCCCCACACAUGAGUCUGUCUUGUACAGAAGGGCGGUGGUGAAGUUCACUCUGGCUGUAACUCUUUGCAGACUUACUGUCACUUCUGCCCUUAGCCUCGCAGAUUGAGUAAAUUUAGUCCACGUGGAAACUGGUUUGAUUUCCUCUACCACUUUCAAAGUUUUCAAAGGAAGAAUUUGAAGCCUGAAAUUUUUACUACUAGUGCCUUUUGUAUCUAUUCUGGUUAUCCAAAUAAGAACUAGAAGGAAAACACUGUCUACUCAGGGAACACUGACACCGAAUGCACGGACUUUUCCCUCACAUGAGGCACUUCUGCCACCAACUCCCUGCAGGUUGUGGUGCCCCCACAGAUGUGGGGCAACCAGCCCAGCAAUUGUCGGCGGAAGCCGUCUGUGCAGAUUUUAUUCAUCAGAGCAGGAGGCCGGGGAGUUACCUGCAGGGCUGCAGCAGGCGAGCCAAGAAGAACCGAGCCCAAUGUCUCAGAGAGGGAAAAGGAUUCUGGGCAGGCCAGGACACAGUGCUUUUAGACAAACUGCACAGUGUGGUCGUCCGGGGAUGUUGUAACGUUUCAACUGACAUACUUUGGGGUUACUUAUUGGAUUCUAUUUCUGGGCGAUCCUGUAACAAAGCACCACAAACCAGGCUGGUUUCAUCUGCUUUGCCCAUUCUGAUUAGAAUCACGGGUCUGUGUAGUAGAAAAAUGGCGCUAGAAGUUCCAGGGAUGGCUUCUUCCCCCAGAAAUUUCUCUCCUGGAUACCCUGAGUGCUGUUUGAGAAACUGGAGCUAUUUUAUUAACUCCCUGAACUGCCCACAGAAGUGCCUUUGCAGGUAAGGAGUCAAAAGGAAUCCAAAACAUUUCACAGCGUACCAUGUUUUGUGUCCGUUUAGUUUAGAAAAUACUUGUUGAGACUUUGUGUCUGCCUUUGUGUGAGAUAUUGCAUGUGUGCUCUGGGGGAGAAUCAAAAGAAUAGGGAUUUACUCAUUCUGGGAAACCUAUAAUUUAGUUAGUAAGGAAAAUAUGGGGCCUGAAGCUAUUGGGAAAUGCUGUCAGGAAAUAUAAACUCAACCUCUUUCAGUGCCAGGGACAGGGGGAUGUGUAGAAGAACUUCCGGGCAGGGGGUGGGUGUCGAGGGCUGCAAGGGAAGGAGGGAGUUGGGGUAGAGGACACUGAAUAGAGUAGAAGGGAAAUUUAAUAGGGAGUAUUGGCGCUGGCCUGUGUCAGUGAUGAGGGGGUGGGCGUGGCAAGAUGCUGAUGGGAAACAGAUCAAAAAAAGGUCUCAGUUACAGCUUCAUAUUUCCCUGUGUAGACCUAGAAUCUGGCACAGCUAAUUGAAUGUAUAUGGGCUGCUAACUGGUUUUAUUUGCUGCUUAUUAUUACUAUGGCAGGAUGUAGAGUGGGAUGUGGGUGCUUCUCCUCAGUGAUGCUGGGACCUGAGGACCCUGCCUGGGGUCCUUGGGUGAGUUGGACCAGCUCAGGAAACUCAGCCACCCACGGGCAGUGCCAUUCCAAGAGUCCUGGCAUGGUUCCCAGGCCAAGUGCUGCCACAGUGAGUGUAGUGACUGGAAAUGUCUGUGAUGGUCUGCAAGGACUGCCCGCAUGUACCCUUGGCCUAGGCCUAAAACGUAAGGGAUGGGCCUGAGCAUUUGGAGGCCAAGCUGAUGACACAGUCAGUGUAGUCAAGUUUAACCCUUUCUACUGCCUCCCCCAACACACACACACAUACACUCUCUCUCUCUCUCUCUCCCUCUCUCUCUCUCUCUCUCUCUCUCUCUCUCUCUCUUCCAGCAUUGUUCUGGCUUCUUGGCUGAGCCAGAGCUAUUUAGAGGUCUAAAGGUCACUGCCAAAGUGCAAAGUGGCUACGGCGAUGAAGCUG